ensembl:lncRNA
CCCGGUUGGCAUGUGAUUUCAUGCUUUUCACUUCUCCCUUUAAAUGGAAAUGCAGAAAAUGAUCUUCGCCCUCCAGUGGGGAUUGCGAUUUUUUUUCCUCUCUCAGCUCUGACACCUGCUACUGUUUCACUUGCUAUUAAAGGUCUAUGUGAUGGGGUGGCGUGCUUCAAGCGGUGCUAAAUGGGUGUGUGGGAGGGGCUGAAACAGUGUCAGGAGAGGUGUUGGAAUGUGAGUCACAGCCACAGGGAUCAGAGACUGUGGUGAGGGAGCCAGAGUGAGGAUUUCUGAGUCAGCACCCGUGUGCCUCUGCCACCACGAGGAACCACCGGCCACUGUGAUAGUCACUCAACCAUGUCUGACUCUUUCCGAGGAGCUCCUCUGUCCAUGGAAUUCUCCAGGCCGAUUCUUCAUCAUCUGAGUCACCAGGGGGAGUUUUGAAAAAUGAUCGUCAACUCCCUAGUCAAGACAGAAAAUAUUUACAUCACCAUCAGGGGGAGAACAAAGGGCCAGCAACCUGCUGACCAACCCUACCCAGCUCCAUGCAUGAGUGACUCCAGCCAGCCACCAGGAGAGGGAUAUUAGGGUGGGGGUGUUCCAGGUGGCCCCUUGCCCUGCCUUCACUGGGAGCCUGCUCCCCCUGGGUUUUCUCUUCCUCUUCAGCCCUGCUCAGGCCGAUCAGGGGCGAGCCACUUUCUAGUCUUGGCUUGUUUGCCUAUCUAUUCACUUGCAAACAAAUCCUGCCUUGUGGUGUUGUUUCUAUAAUGGGAAGGAGGCUCAUCUCUUUCCAAUUCUGCAAUGUGGGUGGACUUUUAAAGGGUCUGUGCGCUUUCGGUUCACAUAUUAAUCUGCUUCCUUCUACCUUCCAGAUACCUUCUGCUCCUAAAUGUGGGCCAUUUUACUUGAGGGGUGGGGAGGGGUGGGGAGGUAUUAUUUCCAUAGUUACAUUUUCAAACGGGGCAAGGUUAACAUAACUUGUCCUGUCUCGAGACAAUACCUUGAAGGGAUUUGGACAAGAUAAAAAUCGAAAUCCUUUAUCCUUGAGAAUACUUUGCUUGGCAGAGCUGAUAAGCGGCAUAUGUAUUUGUGUGUGUGCUUGUGAGCACGCAUGCCUGCAUGCUAAAGCUGUUGUGAUCCCCAGCUACCCUCCUUGAGGCAGCUGCACUUCCUCACUGGAGAGAUGAGCAUCCUCAGUGAUGCUCAAGGCUUCCUUUUUAUCUGGGGACACCACACAGGUUUUCAGAAGACCAAGUCGAGCAGUAGGAGAUCUUUCCUCGAUUCUUGAGGCCUGUCAGGGGCACAUUUUUCUACAUCUUCCUGCCUCCCCCAAAGAGCUCCAGGCUAAGACCCUGCUGUUAAUGAUCCUACAUUGCUAGGCUUUUGCUGACAUUUAAUCUCCCUAAUCUGUAGUGCUACGGUGUUAUCUCAUGUUUAACAAAUGGGAAAGCCCCUUUUGGCCUCCAUGGGCAGACCAGAGUUCAGCUGUUGGGAGCCAGGAGUGGAAUCCCGGAACGGGCCCAGGAGUCCGGCAGCCAUCUACCCCUACCCCUUAUCUGCUACCCUAACCAUUGUCCCUCUUGUUUCAGUCCCUGCUGAGUUUAAAAUGUUAGAGUAGCAGCCCAGAAA